GACGAACGCUGGCGGCGUGCCUAAUACAUGCAAGUAGAACGCUGAAGGAGGAGCUUGCUUCUCUGGAUGAGUUGCGAACGGGUGAGUAACGCGUAGGUAACCUACCUGGUAGCGGGGGAUAACUAUUGGAAACGAUAGCUAAUACCGCAUAAGAGUAGAUGUCGCAUGACAUUUGCUUAAAAGGUGCAAUUGCAUCACUACCAGAUGGACCUGCGUUGUAUUAGCUAGUUGGUGAGGUAACGGCUCACCAAGGCAACGAUACAUAGCCGACCUGAGAGGGUGAUCGGCCACACUGGGACUGAGACACGGCCCAGACUCCUACGGGAGGCAGCAGUAGGGAAUCUUCGGCAAUGGACGGAAGUCUGACCGAGCAACGCCGCGUGAGUGAAGAAGGUUUUCGGAUCGUAAAGCUCUGUUGUAAGAGAAGAACGAGUGUGAGAGUGGAAAGUUCACACUGUGACGGUAUCUGACCAGAAAGGGACGGCUAACUACGUG
rnacentral:rRNA from 1 species